UUAGUGGCGCACGGGUGCGUAACGCGUGGGAAUCUGCCCCUUGGUUCGGAAUAACAGUUGGAAACGACUGCUAAUACCGGAUGACGACGUAAGUCCAAAGAUUUAUCGCCGAGGGAUGAGCCCGCGUAGGAUUAGGUAGUUGGUGUGGUAAAGGCGCACCAAGCCGACGAUCCUUAGCUGGUCUGAGAGGAUGAUCAGCCACACUGGGACUGAGACACGGCCCAGACUCCUACGGGAGGCAGCAGUGGGGAAUAUUGGACAAUGGGCGAAAGCCUGAUCCAGCAAUGCCGCGUGAGUGAUGAAGGCCUUAGGGUUGUAAAGCUCUUUUACCCGGGAUGAUAAUGACAGUACCGGGAGAAUAAGCUCCGGCUAACUCCGUGCCAGCAGCCGCGGUAAUACGGAGGGAGCUAGCGUUAUUCGGAAUUACUGGGCGUAAAGCGCACGUAGGCGGCUUUGUAAGUAAGAGGUGAAAGCCCAGAGCUCAACUCUGGAAUUGCCUUUUAGACUGCAUCGCUUGAAUCAUGGAGAGGUCAGUGGAAUUCCGAGUGUAGAGGUGAAAUUCGUAGAUAUUCGGAAGA
rnacentral:rRNA from 1 species